UUGCCGGGGAGCAGUCUUUCAAGGAGUAAAGGUGGGGGCGUCUCGCCGGGGCAAGCACCUGAGGUACCUGGAUCAUCGCUCAAGGAAGGGGCCGAGGGAUGAGCCGUGUGCCGGGAAACAGCGCAGGAGAGGGGAGCAGCGCACGUGAACAGGUGAAAGCGUGGAUUCCAGGACAGAAGUAGGUGCUGCCUGGGACUUUGGGGGCUCCAGACAGAGAAGACCUCGGAGGCCCCUUGAUGAAGCCCCUCAGAAACCUUACCAGGGUAGAUGUGUAUGGUUGUAAGUGCUGGGGAAUGUCCUGAGCGUGGAACAGGAAUGCAGGGAACAAAAUGAACCCUCAUGGAAUGCUGAGUCCUCCCAUCAGCUGCAGCGGAGGCACCUCUGUGUGCACUGUGGGAGCUGAUGGCCAGGGCCCCCGGUGGGCUGGGAUCACUGCAGGGUGUUGUCAGCAAGGAAUGCCUGGCUUCUAAAACUCACCAGCUGAGUCUUAGAGGCUUCUUUUUUUUCAGGCAGCCAAAUUGGCCCCAGGCAGGGACUCUGAGCCUGCUCUCCUGGUGUGCCCAGGGAUCUCUGGGCCUUCACGCCGGCACCGAGAUGUUCUCGGGAAGGCCCUCAGAUCCCCGGAGCAGUCUGGGACACGGGCAAGAUCCCCCUGCAUUUCGGGGGCAGAUUGGGCCCCCCGGAGGGACAGUGCUGUUGCUGCCCCCCGGGCUGGGACACUCGGAGAACUCCAGCGCGCACCGAAAUUGUUCUUCGGGGAGCUCCUCUGGGUGCCCCAAGGUGGGGAGCUGAAAGCAAGGUCCCUGGAAUGGAUUCAGGCAUUCCUGAGAGUAUCAGAGGUGUAGCUGUCUGUGCUGGCCAUGGAGCUCCGGAAUGGACUGUAACUGGGUUCUAAAAGUGGUGCUCCAGCUGCAAAAGGAGUGUGGGAUUGGAAUUAAGGAAUGAGUGGUGAUGGUACCGUUGGCUGUUUUCUCUUGAAUGCAGUUGUGAGAGCUGCAGGAGUGCAAGGUGUGGGUUCCAGUCCCCACCGUUUGGUUUGCACGUGUCCUGGUCAGACACAGGUCCAGCUUCCUCAGCCCUUAACACAGCAGAGGGAGAAUUAAGGGAUGGCACUGGGAAGGUGAUUGGUGUGACAGGGGUUAAACUGGGAAAACACUGGGUAAUUCCUCAGUUUGUUUAUUUGCAAGCUCCCCUAAACCUUUGCUAGGAAGAGAUGGGUUGGACAAGUUGAGGCAGAAAUGAACUUGGAAAAUGGGGAGAUUGAAAUUGUAGUUGCUGACACUAACUGUGUGACAGGAGCAGCUCUUCUUGUGCAGGAAGUAACUCCCGUCAGCAGCACCGUCCCGACUGAAGCGGCAGAUGGAGUUGUUCCUGUGGUGAGGGCCAGUGGAAUUCCAGGAGAAUGGAAGAGGGCAGAGCCUGUAGGAGCAAGGCAAGCCAAGAAACCUUUGCUUUUGAAGGAGAAACUCUGGAAAUUGGGAAGGAAGAAAUGAAGCCACCUGAGCCCUCCCUGAGCAACAGGCAGUCCAUGAAGUGCCUUCCUGGGAACGGUAGGACAGUGAGGACUCCGGAUUUCACGCUACGGGUGUGUGGAUCUGCCCUGCAGAAACUCCCGGAAUUGACGGUGACACCCCGGCCGAUGGAUUGGACGCCCCAGCCCGUCCGUUCCUGCCCAGCCGCUGGGUCCCUGUCAGGCGGUGGGACUCCCAGCCUGUCCAGGGGGCUGUGGCAUAGAAACUGCCCAGAGCUGAGCCAGAGGAUUGAAAGGGACUAACCCAGCGAGGUGAAGAAACAAGGAAGAAGGGAAGUGAGGCAGCAGCCAAGCAGCACCGAGUUCCUCUGUCAGCAGCAGCUCUUCUUGUGCAGGAAGUAACUCCCGUCAGCAGCACCGUCCCGACUGAAGCGGCAGAUGGAGUUGUUCCUGUGGUGAGGGCCAGUGGAAUUCCAGGAGAAUGGAAGAGGGCAGAGCCUGUAGAGCAAGGCAAGCCAAGAAACCUUUGCUUUUGAAGGAGAAACUCUGGAAAUUGGGAAGGAAGAAAUGAAGCCACCUGAGCCCUCCCUGAGCAACAGGCAGUCCAUGAAGUGCCUUCCUGGGAACGGUAGGACGGUGAGGACUCCGGAUUGCUCCCUACGGAUGUGUGGUAAGACCGAUGCAAACU